CAGUGACAGGAGUAUUAUGAUUACCAGGUGUUUGAGCCACCUCAACUAUACUCGGGACUGCAUCUCUGAGGGAAUACAGCACAGAGCAAGUUGUGACACUGACUGCAGUACUCCUGGAGGAGGUAGGAAACAGCAAAGCAGGAAAUUAUACUGUUAAUUAU